UACGGGAGGCAGCAGUGAGGAAUAUUGGACAAUGGAGGGAACUCUGAUCCAGCGACGCCGCGUGUAAGAUGAGAGAACUAAGUUCUGUAAAUUACUGUCGGAAGGGAACAAAAGAACCUUUAGGGGUUCUGGGAUGGUACCUUUAGAGGAAGGGUCGGCUAACUACGUGCCAGCAGCCGCGGUAAU
rnacentral:rRNA from 1 species